GGCACCUAGAUAUUUUAUUUAUUAAAACAUUUAUUACGUCGGGUUUGUGCUUUGGUCUAUAUUGCCGAGUAAGCUUUGGGUUUCUUUGCUCGACGUCCUCCUCCUAUGGUGUACCGGAACCGUUGCCUGUCGCCUCCGUUGAAGCCUCUUGGAGCCACCUCUGAGUGAGAGUUCGUACGUUUUGCCUCUUAGCUUUACCAGAUCCGGUUUGUUGGUUUUGGACGCCUAAAACCCAACCUAAAUAUAAAAUAAGUUUCCCAAAAAGUAAAAGUUUGAGAAUCGAACCGUGCCCUCAUUUGAAGAAUAAUGACAGUGUCGACCACUACACUACGAGUAACUUUUCACAAUUUACUGCCCUAUAAAUAUAUAACAUAAUUUGGCGCUUAAAACAUGAGUUUUACCAGCUUUAGCCCAUGACCGACCCUGAACUUUACUCUUGUCUCUUCUCUGAAGCAACAAGAAGCGCUUGGAUUUGAGUUUCAUUAACGUCAAGAAAACCAUUAUUGGUAAGCUUGAUGUCAACUUUUGUGUUUCAUAGAUGUUUUUUUAUCUUUUUUGCGGUAUCUACGAACAAACCAGCUUGUUAGCAGAAUCUGAUUCAAUCUGAUUGUAACCAAAUCUUUGUUUCUUUGGAAUAAUAUUUACAAUUUAGCAAAAAAAACAUGUAAAAGAUUUAAUUCAAAUCUGGAUAAAAAUAUCUUUCACGUUAAAAAGUGUAAUUUAAAAAAAAUAAUAAUAUAAAAGUUAUCCCAAAAUCUUUCUAAUUAUGUCUAAAUUUAUUUAUUUUCUUCUGAAAAGGGUAAAAUAAGGGACGUGAAUAAAAGAAGAAAAUAAAAAGAGCACGUGACAGUUUUAAGGAUCUUUGUGGGAAAAUAAUGGGCCAUAAAGCCCAUUUUUGUGGCUUUCUUACCAAGCAAUCAUUAUAAACGUUCCUUCAUCAUCUUCAACGUUUCCUACGCUCUGUUUCUUGUUCUUGAAAAAAACAGAGCAUGGAGACUGAGUACGAAAAUGUUCUUCGUUUUGAAUCACAAGGCAGAUACAUAGAGGCUUUAGAGAUUAUAAGCGAGGCUGAGCGUUGUGGUAACCACAGUGAACGUCUUAACAUACUUCAAGCUGAAAUCUUCAUGUCUCUAGCAGAAGAAUCGGAGAAUCUGUACAAGAAACUCGUAUUUUUAAUGGCAGCCGUUGAAGCCUACUCAAGAAACGACGCGUGUGAAUGUGUCUACCCACUGUUCGAAAUAUCAGAGCUUCUUGGUUCAGCAUCAUUCUACAGUAGAGUAUUGAAGACGGCAGAGCUCUUCUUGAAGCGUAUUGAUACAGCUUUGGGAUCUCAAGAACCGGACGUGGCUAAAGACGGCGUAUAUGCUCACCUCUUGGAAGAAGGGGAAAAAGUGCGAUCUUUGGUUAACGUUGUGAAUGCGAGGAUUGCGAACCAGAAGGAGAAUGGUGCUAUGGUUGAGCGAUUGAGACCUCACUGGGAGUCUUCCAGUGAAAACACCAAACGUGAGUUCAUGAAAGUUAGUACUCAGGAACUGCGAAGGUUUGUGCUGAAUAAAUUUGAAAAGGAAGGAAGAGAUGCGUUGGAGAAAGUUCUGGGUCACGUAAAGAAGAACGAAAGGUGGAUUUUUUGGCUCUGUAGAAGUUGUUCCCAGAAGUUCUCCACUUCCGAAGAAUGUACGAGUCAUCUUGAACAGGUACAUGCUGCAGAGUUCGCACCAUCUUCGAUGAAUGAUUUGGUGGAGAAGGAGGUCUGGUCUGAUAAGAUAGCAGUUGGAGUUUGGAAAGAUGCUAUCGAUCUGGUUUGCUCCUCAGUUGAAAGUUUCUGCUGUCAAGGUUUAACUGGAGUCAAAGAGAAGAUCAAUUUUGACUCAGACAUGGCAUAUGUGCUGCUGGACAAGAGACUCUUGCAAGGAAAUGUUGAUGAGCGAGUUGAUGAGGGAGGUAAGAUUAGCUUUUCUGAUGCUAAACUUCACUGCACAAGGGUGCAUGCUGGUGGAGGAGAUGACUUCAUGUCAUGGCUAGCAUUGUCAGAAGAUUGGAAAUUCAAAUUCCCAAGACCAAUCAGGGAGUUCAAUUUGGAUAUGUGGAUCGCUUCAUUGAAGUCAUAUCAGUUUCUCUGUAGAACUUUGCAAACACACAAGGUUAUUCACUUGGACGCAGAGAUUUUACUGAUUGACAAGUCUAGAGUGAAGUUGCUGAAACACCUCACAGGGAUGUGUCUUUUUGACUUCAGGUGCUACCUUAAUCCACCUCUCAAAGAAUACAUAAUUGAUUGUCUGCGUCGAAGGUUCGCUUGAGAUGAUUAGUGUAACGUUCUCAUUUGAUUUUUUGGACUAGAGUUGGUAUACGUUUAAAUCCUGUUCUUGUAUAUUUUGGUCAAUUUUGGCCCUUUCGGCUGCGUGGAAACUUGUGUCUCUAUCCAGUCGCAGCUGGUUUAUCUCAGAGCUUAAAAACUUACAUAAAAGACUAGUGUUUGGUGAAACAUGUUGCUAGAUCUAGCUCAAGUACACUAUAUACAUAUACCUUUGUUAAGCGAGAGAAGGAAAAAGAAAAAACAAAAUAUCAAACAGAGAUCUUUAAGCUUAAUACAAGUAAAACACUUCACUCGCUGUUGAUGGAGUUAACCUGAACUAGCUUCCUCGGAAUUAUCUGAUAAAUGAUCAGAACAGCAACCGAGUUAAAUACAAUAUGAAAGUAGUAACUGAAACCAAUAACAUUUUCAAGCUGCAUUUAGCAUAUGAACCUUCUUCACAUGGAGUAACUCAACUGCCAAACAAAUUUUUUUAAAAAAAUUGAGUAGAGAUGAGAAUGCAUGCCUUCUCCUCCACAAAGAGUGUCAAGUAGGAUCAUUUAUCAUUUCAUAUUGUAUAGCUCUACCACCAACGAGAACACAAGCAUAGUUGACUGGAUAAAAAAAAACAAAAAUUAGAGAAGUUCUCAAAUAGGAUCUGUUGCUAUCAACAAGACCCUUUCACAGGAAAGCCAAUCAUACUUAAAUUACCAAAUAAAAGCAAACACAUGAGAACAAUCUCGGAUUUUCAAAAUAGCUUAAAAAUUCACAAAUUUUAACAAGACCGUUCAACAAUCUUUUGAUGGGAUUCAGGUAUUCAAUUUUUUAUAUAGUAAAUAAAAUUUAAUUAAUCUAAUAAAUUCUAUUUUGAAAGACUGUUUAAAAUUAAAUAAACAAAAGGGAAAAUGGAUGGCCUCAAAUUCAAAGCGAAGCGUCUCCACAUACUUUACCACCAACUUCUUGCCCGCCAUGUGGACAUUCUCAUCUCUCUCUAAAGCUCCCUCUGUUCACUAUCUCUCUAAACGGUCGCUAUCUUUGAGAAAAAAAAAACCGAUGACCUCGUCUCUUUCAAGCAAUCCGGUGGAAACGUCCACAGAUCUUACAGAGACGACGACGGAAGCUCCGGAGAAGAAGGUGAGGAAAGCUUACACGAUCUCCAAGUCCAGACAGAGUUGGACUGAAGGAGAGCACGAUAAGUUUCUCGAAGCUCUUCAACUGUUUGAUCGUGACUGGAAAAAGAUUGAAGAUUUUGUCGGUUCAAAGACAGUUAUUCAGAUCAGGAGCCAUGCCCAAAAGUACUUUCUGAAGGUAGA